rnacentral:rRNA from 1 species
CAGCCGCCGCGGGAAUACGAAGGGUGCAAGCGUUACUCGGAAUUACUGGGCGUAAAGCGUGCGUAGGUGGUGGUUUAAGUCCGUUGUGAAAGCCCUGGGCUCAACCUGGGAAUUGCAGUGGAUACUGGGUCACUAGAGUGUGGUAGAGGAUAGUGGAAUUUCCGGUGUAGCAGUGAAAUGCGUAGAGAUCGGAAGGAACAUCUGUGGCGAAGGCGACUAUCUGGGCCAACAUUGACACUGAGGCACGAAAGCGUGGGGAGCAAACAGGAUUAGAUACCCCUGUAGUCCCUGUCUCUUAUAC